UACGGAGGGUGCAAGCGUUAUCCGGAUUCACUGGGUUUAAAGGGCGCGUAGGUGGGUUUGUAAGUCAGUGGUGAAAUCUCCGUGCUUAACAUGGAAACUGCCAUUGAUACUAUAGGUCUUGAAUUAUCUGGAGGUUAGCGGAAUAUGUCAUGUAGCGGUGAAAUACUUAGAUAUGACAUAGAACACCAAUUGCGAAGGCAGCUGGCUACAGGUAUAUUGACACUGAGGCUCGAAAGCGUGGGGAUCAAACAGG
rnacentral:rRNA from 1 species